UAGUGGUGACAGUGCUUAUAGUCGCGUAUUCAAUGACAAAGGCCAGAACAUCGAGAGAAUGAGAUUUAAUUUGUCUUUCCAGCUACUGCUUUUUAAGGUGCAGUCGCUAGAUGGCGCGCUUCCCGGGAGCUCGGUGUCUGUCGAACGGCUCAGGACUGUGAGGCUGUGUUCUCUGGGGCAGCAGCACCAGCACAGCGCUUGAAAGCCUUCCAAGCUCACUCAAGAUGGACUGAAAACCGAAUCAUCACAGUGCUGGAAAAGCGAGGGACAGGAAGAAGUUGGACCCCGUGCAAGCCCUGUGUGCUCUUCCGAAAUAGCUCAUGGCAGUUUCAGACCCCAGUCAACAGAUUGUCGCUUUACAGACGAACCCAGUUUGAGAUUGCUUUUCUGUACCUGGGCUGUAAGAGUUUGCCCUUUUCUCCGUUCCUAAUUUUGUAUUGGCCACUGUCUGUGCUUAUGAAGCAAGGGCGGUGCUUCCUAGAAUCCACUAUCCUAUUCUGGCAGUUGUAGCAUUUAACUAAAGACAACAUUUGAAAACAUUUAUAAAUUUUAAAAUGAAGCCUUUUACAUAAAUUAAAUGAUUAAAAACUUUGCAUAUUUUUUCCAUUGUAAAUACCAGCGUCUCAAAAGCAACAAAGUUUACAACCUAAAGCCGUUAUUCUUUUGCUUAGACAAAAACCAAAUAACUCUGGAGCUUGUGAGAGGUCUGUUCAGAGCUUAUGUGUUCACACAAGCCUGGAUUCAGUCCCCGGAACUGUAAAAGAAUCUGUAUACUAUGACCAUAGUUUUAAAACCGAAGCACAAAACCCACAGACAAGACUGUAGCUCUGUGAAAGGACACUUGGUGAUGUGAGUUAGGCUCUGGGUUCCAUCUCUAACGGUGCAAAAUAAAGCAAACUAAUUUCAAAUGUAACAAGAGAGAAAACAACAUCUGGAGUUCUAAACUUCUGCUAUGGCAUGAAAGUGACUUUCUUUUCCUUUGUACCGUUCUUAAUUUUCUAUACUUCCUGUAAACAUGCUAUGUGAUAAAUUAAGAUGACAUUCAUUAUGAUUUCUGUAAUCUGACACUUCUAUUGUUAAAGCCUAAAAGGUAUCCACGCUUAUUUUUAUACUCAAAAGCUACUGUUUUCAUCAUCUGUCAUUUAAGGUAAUCAACAUUUCUGUAAGCUUUCUAAGCAUCUGAAUGAAAUGACGCAAGCCACAGCAAACGGAUACAUACACAACACUGUGCAUAAUAAGACAUCCUUUGGGAGGUGGGCUCUGAAGAGAUGGCUCUUCAUGGGCUGCUCUUCCAAGAACCUGGGUUCAAUUUCCAGCACCCACAUGGUGGCUCACAAGCAUCUACAACUGCAGUCCCAUAGGAUCCCUCUUCUGGUAUGCAGACCACACAGAAAAAAAUAUGUAUUAAAGUAAAUGAAUAAAUCUAGAACAAG
rnacentral:lncRNA from 1 species